rnacentral:ncRNA from 1 species
GCAUACAACUGGCGGAUAAGUGGAGUACCACAGGGAGUAUGUAGGAGAGAAAGCCGACCGCCUGGGUACCC